rnacentral:rRNA from 1 species
GACGAACGCUGGCGGCGUGCUUAACACAUGCAAGUCGAACGGAAAGGCCCUGCUUUUGUGGGGUGCUCGAGUGGCGAACGGGUGAGUAACACGUGAGUAACCUGCCCUUGACUGUGGGAUAACUUCAGGAAACUGGGGCUAAUACCGGAUAGGAGCUCCUGCUGCAUGGUGGGGGUUGGAAAGUUUCGGCGGUUGGGGAUGGACUCGCGGCUUAUCAGCUGGUUGGUGGGGUAGUGGCUUACCAAGGCUUUGACGGGUAGCCGGCCUGAGAGGGUGACCGGCCACAUUGGGACUGAGAUACGGCCCAGACUCCUACGGGACGCAGCAGUGGGGAAUAUUGCACAAUGGGCGGAAGCCUGAUGCAGCAACGCCGCGUGCGGGAUGACGGCCUUCGGGUUGUAAACCGAUUUCGACUGUGACGAAGCGUGAGUGACGGUAAUGGGUAAAGAAGCCCCGGCUAACUACGUG